rnacentral:rRNA from 1 species
UACGUAGGGUGCAAGCGUUUGUCCGGAAUUAUUGGGCGUAAGAGAGCUCGUAGGCGGUUUGUCGCGUCGGCUGUGAAAACUCGGGGCUCAACCCCGAGCCUGCAGUCGAUACGGGCAGACUAGAGUGCGGUAGGGGAGACUGGAAUUCCUGGUGUAGCGGUGAAAUGCGCAGAUAUCAGGAGGAACACCGGUGGCGAAGGCGGGUCUCUGGGCCGUAACUGACGCUGAGGAGCGAAAGCGUGGGGAGCAAACAGG